AUGAUGGGUUUAGCGACGAUUUGUGAGGGUUGUAUUGAGAUGUGAAAUGGGGUUUUUUUUUGCGUGAAAGAUGACAGAGAAUGUGAAAUUGUAUGUAGACCAAAAUACCCCUGCGCGUCUAAAUUAAAAAUCAUACGUGGAUGGCUAAGAUUACUUCCUAUCCUUCCUAUCAAGAUCAAACUUCAUAUUUGAUCCUUACCAUGUGUUUAAAUUAUUUAUUCUAAUAACUCGUAUUUUUUCUUCUACUAGAAUGUGUUUAAAUAAUAUUCUUUAUAUAGUUCUCAACAUUGUAUGAUUAAAAAAAAACUAAUUUUGAAAUGAGAAGUUUCGGUUUAAUGUGGGUGAGACAUUUUUCAUAAACUUUAGGGUAAAUUACACUUUUCGUCCUUUAUGUUUGUAUCGAAUUGCAAUGGGUAUCCUUUAACUUCAAUAAUUACAGUCACAGUCCUUUAUUUGGAAAACUCAGUACACUUUUCGUCCUUUAGCAAUAACAUGGUUAAAUUUUUCAGUUAAGUUUAUUCACUUAAGGGCAUUUUAGUCUUUUUACUUAAUUAUUUAUAGUAUAAAUAAAAAAUAACAUUUAAAAAUUAAAAUUUUAUAAAACCAAAUAUAAAUACCUAUCUUCUUUCUCUCUCACACCUUUCUCUUUCUCUGUCUCUCAACAAACCAGCAGCCACAACGAUCUUUACCAUCCCUGCAAAUCUGAGCCAUCCCAAGGUCUUCCUCAUCUAACAUCUUACAAAUAUGAACUAUUUUAAGCUUCAAUUCAACUUCUAAAACAUAAUCUUCAACAUCCACAAAUCUGGUCUUGUUCAGUUUUCCGGCGCCGGUGCUAUUGGACAAGUCUGUCAGUUGAUCGGUGUUGUUGUUGAUCAUUCAAUCGUUUUCUCUUCGAAUCUAAGGAGGAAAAGCAGACAAAGAACUAGUGUCUGAAAACGAGUAAGGAAUCAUAAAUGCUUCUGUAUAUGUGUGUAUAUAUAUUCUAUAUCAUAGCAAUGGAAUCUCAGCUUUAAUCUCAUCCGUUUGCGUGAAAGUAACACGGACUUACGCUCGAUAGAUUGAUUGAAUUGCAUUUGUGGUGUUUCAAAAGGUAUUUGUAAAAUUUGUAUCCUAAAAUUUGAUCUGUUUGUUCUUAUUUAGUUUCAGUUUGAUGUGCAUAGAGUAAAUUGAUUGUAUUAUUGUUACUGUUAGUAUUGAUAACUCUAAAAGGCAAGAAAUUUGAUGUUCAUCUUGUUCCUCUGUGAUACUUAAUGAGGACACCAUGUGUGUUGUUAAUCUUCCUGGACUUUUGUAUAGAAAUUGAUGGCUGGUGUUUCGUGUAACGUGUAAAUGGUUUCUUAAAUACGGGUUGCUUGAUGCUUUGAUUGAUUUUCUAUGUUUAGAAAAUGCUGGUGGGUCAGAUUUGGUGGUGGUGGUGGCGGCGGCGGCGACUGGAGUUAGGGGUGGUGGUGGUGGUUGGAGAGACAGAACUGAUAUUGAGAUAGAGAGAUUGGGGGUUGUUUAUUUAUUUAAGGGUAAAUUACAUUUUUCAUCCUUUAUACAAGUAAAAUUACUAACUUACCCUCAUGUGCAAGUCACAUGACUAGAAUUAACUGAAAAAUUUAACCUUGUUACUGCUAAAGGACAAAAAGUGUACUGAGUUUUCCAAAUAAAGGAUUGUGACUAUAAUUAUUGAAGUUAAAGGGUAUCCGUUUCAAUUCGAGAUAAACAUAAAGGACGAAAACUGUAAUUUACCCUAAACUUUAUUAAAUGUAAAGAACCAUGAAGUAUGAAUACCAUUGUAAAAAAUGUAUAUUAUUUAAGAAAAGCUGGGAGUUAUAAUUUCAUGCCAUGCCACACAAAAAAAAAAUGUUGUGGUGAGAACUUGUGACAAGAUCCCUUCAUAUCUGCAAAUUUGGUCAUCAUUUCAUGCCACAUAAAAA
rnacentral:lncRNA from 1 species